CUACGGGAUGCUCCAGUGAGGAAUAUUGCACAAUGGGGGAAACCCUGAUGCAGCAACGCCGCGUGGAGGAUGACGCAUUUCGGUGUGUAAACUCCUUUUAUGAGUCAAGAAAAUGACGGUAGCUCAUGAAUAAGCACCGGCUAACUCCGUGCCAGCAGCCGCGGUAAUACGGAGGGUGCAAGCGUUACUCGGAAUCACUGGGCGUAAAGGACGCGUAGGCGGGCUUGUAAGUCAGGUGUGAAAUCCUACAGCUUAACUGUAGAACUGCACUUGAAACUACGAGCCUAGAGUAUGGGAGGGGCAGAUGGAAUUAGUGGUGUAGGGGUAAAAUCCGUAGAUAUCACUAGGAAUACCGAAAGCGAAGGCGAUCUGCUGGAACAUUACUGACGCUAAGGCGUGAAAGCGUGGGGAGCAAACGGGAUUAGAUACCCCUGUAGUC
rnacentral:rRNA from 1 species